rnacentral:rRNA from 1 species
AUUGAACGCUGGCGGCAGGCCUAACACAUGCAAGUCGAACGGUAGCACAGAGAGCUUGCUCUCGGGUGACGAGUGGCGGACGGGUGAGUAAUGUCUGGGAAACUGCCCGAUGGAGGGGGAUAACUACUGGAAACGGUAGCUAAUACCGCAUAACGUCGCAAGACCAAAGAGGGGGACCUUAGGGCCUCUUGCCAUCGGAUGUGCCCAGAUGGGAUUAGCUUGUAGGUGAGGUAGCGGCUCACCUAGGCGACGAUCCCUAGCUGGUCUGAGAGGAUGACCAGCCACACUGGAACUGAGACACGGUCCAGACUCCUACGGGAGGCAGCAGUGGGGAAUAUUGCACAAUGGGCGCAAGCCUGAUGCAGCCAUGCCGCGUGUAUGAAGAAGGCCUUCGGGUUGUAAAGUACUUUCAGCGGGGAGGAAGGGAGUGAGGUUAAUAACCUUAUUCAUUGACGUUACCCGCAGAAGAAGCACCGGCUAACUCCGUGCCAGCAGCCGCGGUAAUACGGAGGGUGCAAGCGUUAAUCGGAAUUACUGGGCGUAAAGCGCACGCAGGCGGUCUGUCAAGUCGGAUGUGCAAUCCCCGGGCUCAACCUGGGAACUGCAUUCGAAACUGGCAGGCUGGAGUCUUGUAGAGGGGGGUAGAAUUCCAGGUGUAGCGGUGAAAUGCGUAGAGAUCUGGAGGAAUACCGGUGGCGAAGGCGGCCCCCUGGACAAAGACUGACGCUCAGGUGCGAAAGCGUGGGGAGCAAACAGGAUUAGAUAUCCUGGUAGUCCACGCUGUAAACGAUGUCGACUUGGAGGUUGUUCCCUUGAGGAGUGGCUUCCGGAGCUAACGCGUUAAGUCGACCGCCUGGGGAGUACGGCCGCAAGGUUAAAACUCAAAUGAAUUGACGGGGGCCCGCACAAGCGGUGGAGCAUGUGGUUUAAUUCGAUGCAACGCGAAGAACCUUACCUACUCUUGACAUCCAGAGAACUUAGCAGAGAUGCUUUGGUGCCUUCGGGAACUCUGAGACAGGUGCUGCAUGGCUGUCGUCAGCUCGUGUUGUGAAAUGUUGGGUUAAGUCCCGCAACGAGCGCAACCCUUAUCCUUUGUUGCCAGCGAUUCGGUCGGGAACUCAAAGGAGACUGCCAGUGAUAAACUGGAGGAAGGUGGGGAUGACGUCAAGUCAUCGUGGCCCUUACGAGUAGGGCUACACACGUGCUACAAUGGCAUAUACAAAGAGAAGCGACCUCGCGAGAGCAAGCGGACCUCAUAAAGUAUGUCGUAGUCCGGAUUGGAGUCUGCAACUCGACUCCAUGAAGUCGGAAUCGCUAGUAAUCGUGGAUCAGAAUGCCACGGUGAAUACGUUCCCGGGCCU